rnacentral:rRNA from 1 species
CCUACGGGGGGCAGCAGUGGGGGAUAUUGCACAAUGGGGGAAACCCUGAUGCAGCGACACCGCGUGGGUGAAGAAGCGCUUCGGCGUGUAAAGCCCUAUCAGUGGGGAAGAAAAAGGACGGUACCCAAAGAAUAAGCCACGGCUAACUACGUGCCAGCAGCCGCGGUAAUACGUAGGUGGCGAGCGUUGUCCGGAUUUACUGGGUGUAAAGGGCGCGUAGGCGGGAAUGCAAGUCAGAUGUGAAAUCCAUGGGCUUAACCCAUGAACUGCAUUUGAAACUGUAUUUCUUGAGUGUCGGAGAGGUA